rnacentral:lncRNA from 1 species
GCGAGUACAGCCCUGCCACCUCUGGAGUUCAGCCCAGUGAAAGUGCUUUCAGACUUCUGACCUCCAGAACUGUGGACCGACCAUGGACUGAUGGAAAAAGGAACCACGAGGAGCUCCAACAAUGGGAAUGUGGUUGCCUCUUCCUAGUGCAACACCUGGGUUCUGGAGUGGUGCAUGCCAGGUAUUUGGCAUGAAGGUGGAACAAGCAAGGAUGGUGCUGGUGUUUGUAGCCACAACCAAUGUGGUGUGAGCAGGGCCUGUUGCUGGCAGCUCUGAGUGGACAAGAGUUCCAUGACAGAAGAGCUGAAGGCUUCUUGUCCUGCAUCUUCUUCCCCGACAUCAGCAAGCUUGGAGAGCUGGGUGGGUGGUCUUCAUCCAGCACCUUCCUGGCCGCCUUCUCUGGCUGCAGGGAGCAGCCCGGGGCCGGGGCCGGGGCCGGGGCCAGGAGCACUGCUGGAGCCGGGUCAGGCUUCCCAAGGGGAAGGCCACCUCCAGCAGGGCUGUGUGAGCUGGGGGCCUCAUGGCCCUCCCAGAAGGAGCCACUCACUGGAGACACCUGGGCCUUCUCUCUCAAAUGGUUUUCCAACAGGUAGGGGUGGGCAUUUCCCUGCAGAGGCCCGGGCCUGCACCCGAAGGAGGUGAGGUCUCCCUGGGUCUCCAGGGCCCUAGACGUGGAUGAAGUCCUGCCGUGGCUACGGGGGCUCUUUUCUUGUCAUCCUGCUCCUGGGUCUCUACGUGAUGCUCCUGCGUCACUGUUCUGGGCUCCUCUUCGGCCCUACCCUCAGUCUCCUUCGGGAGCCUGGCUGGGACCUGCUUAGGUGGUGAAGGCAGCGGGAGGGCGAACUUGCGGACGGGAGGAGGGUCCUCAGGGACCCUGGGUGCAGCAACCUUCGGGAGUUCCCAACAGGUGGCUCAGAGGCCACAGCCUGCAGGAACUCCAGAGGGUCACCCUUGUCAUGUGGGAGAGGACAAGGGGUGCCACACAAGCUGCCUGGAGAGGAGGGCCUAGGAGGCCGCCGCGGGUUGAACAGGAAUAAGAAAGGGCCUGGCUGUCCUGGGCAGGCGCAGAGGCCUUUAGGGCAAGGGGCGGCCGCUGGCCCGAGAGCCUGCAGGCAGACCAGAGAAGAAACGUGUGAAGUAAAUUGCCCAUCUCCACCGAGGGACAGAAGCAAGGCAAUGAACCUCCAUCCGGC